rnacentral:rRNA from 1 species
AACGAACGCUGGCGGCAGGCUUAACACAUGCAAGUCGAACGCGUGUAGCAAUACACGAGUAGCGCACGGGUGAGUAACGCGUGGAUAUCUGCCUUUUGGUUCGGAAUAACCCCGGGAAACUGGGGCUAAUACCGGAUGGUUCCUUCGGGAUAAAGAUUUAUCGCCAAAAGAUGAGUCCGCGUACGAUUAGCUAGUUGGUGAGGUAAUGGCUCACCAAGGCGACGAUCGUUAGCUGGUCUGAGAGGACGAUCAGCCACACUGGGACUGAGACACGGCCCAGACUCCUACGGGAGGCAGCAGUGGGGAAUAUUGGACAAUGGGGGCAACCCUGAUCCAGCCAUGCCGCGUGAGUGAUGAAGGCCUUCGGGUUGUAAAGCUCUUUUGGCGGGGACGAUGAUGACGGUACCCGCAGAAUAAGCCCCGGCUAACUUCGUGCCAGCCGCCGCCGUAACAC